rnacentral:rRNA from 1 species
UUAAAGAGUUCUAUAACUCCCAAACCCAUGUGAACAUACCUAACGUUGCCUCGGCAGGUCGCACCUACCUUGUAGCACCCUACCCUGUAGGGCCUACCCGGGAGGUGCGGGUAAGCCUGCCGGCGGCCCACCAAACUCUGUUUGAUAUUGAAUUCUGAACCUAUAACUAAAUAAGUUAAAACUUUCAACAACGGAUCUCUUGGUUCUGGCAUCGAUGAAGAACGCAGCGAAAUGCGAUAAGUAAUGUGAAUUGCAGAAUUCAGUGAAUCAUCGAAUCUUUGAACGCAUAUUGCGCCCAUUAGUAUUCUAGUGGGCAGGACCGUUCGAGCGUCAUUUCAACCCUUAAGCCUUCGUUGCUUAGUGUUGGGAGCCUACGGCAACGUAGCUCCUCAAAGUUAGUGGCGGAGUUGGUUCACACUCUAGACGUAGUAAUUUUUUAUCUCGCCUAUUAGUUGGACUAAUCCCCUGCCGUAAAACCCCCAAUUUAUCAAGGUUGACCUCGAAUCGGUUCAGACAAACUCGCUAAAUUGAAGCAUCUUAGUCAGCGAAGGAAAAGAAACCAACAGG